rnacentral:rRNA from 1 species
UACGUAGGGGGCGAGCGUUGUCCGGAAUCAUUGGGCGUAAAGAGCGUGUAGGCGGCUUGGCAAGUCUGACGUGAAAGCCCGCGGCUCAACCGCGGAUUGUCGUUGGAAACUGCCUCGCUAGAGUCCGGAAGAGGAGAGCGGAAUUCCAGGUGUAGCGGUGAAAUGCGUAGAUAUCUGGAGGAACACCGGUGGCGAAGGCGGCAUCCUGGACCGACACUGACGCUGAGGCGCGAAAGCUAGGGGAGCAAACGGG